rnacentral:rRNA from 1 species
GACGAACGCUGGCGGCGUGCUUAACACAUGCAAGUCGAACGGAAAGGCCCUGCUUUUGUGGGGUGCUCGAGUGGCGAACGGGUGAGUAACACGUGAGUAACCUGCCCUUGACUUUGGGAUAACUUCAGGAAACUGGGGCUAAUACCGGAUAGGAGCUCCUGCUGCAUGGUGGGGGUUGGAAAGUUUCGGCGGUUGGGGAUGGACUGGCGGCUUAUCAGCUUGUUGGUGGGGUAGCGGCUUACCAAGGCUUUGACGGGUAGCCGGCCUGAGAGGGUGACCGGCGACAUUGGGACUGAGAUAGGGCCCAGAGUCCUACAGGAGGCAGCAGGGGGGAAUAUUGCACAAUGGGCGGAAGCCUGAUGCAGCAACGCCGCGUGCGGGAUGACGGCCUUCGGGUUGUAAACCGCAUUAGCCUGUGACGAAGCGUGAGUGACGGUAAUGGGUAAAGAAGCACCGGCUAACUACGUG